rnacentral:rRNA from 1 species
AGUGAACGCUGGCGGUAGGCCUAACACAUGCAAGUCGAACGGCAGCACAGUAAGAGCUUGCUCUUACGGGUGGCGAGUGGCGGACGGGUGAGGAAUACAUCGGAAUCUACUUUUUCGUGGGGGAUAACGUAGGGAAACUUACGCUAAUACCGCAUACGACCUACGGGUGAAAGCAGAGGAUCUUCGGACCUUGCGCGAUUGAAUGAGCCGAUGUCGGAUUAGCUGGUUGGCGGGGUAAAGGCCCACCAAGGCGACGAUCCGUAGCUGGUCUGAGAGGAUGAUCAGCCACACUGGGACUGAGACACGGUCCAGACUCCUACGGGAGGCAGCAGUGGGGAAUAUUGGACAAUGGGCGGAAGCCUGAUCCAGCCAUGCCGCGUGGGUGAAGAAGGCCUGCGUGUUGUAAAGCCCUUUUGUGGGGAAAGAAAAGCAGCAGGUUAAUACCCCGCUGUUCUGACGGUACCCAAAGAAUAAGCACCGGCUAACUACGUG